UACGUAGGUGGCAAGCGUUGUCCGGAUUUACUGGGCGUAAAGAGCGCGCAGGCGGUCGGAUCAGUCGAAUGUGAAAGCCCCCGGCUCAACUGGGGAGGGUCAUUCGAUACUGUCCGACUCGAAGGCAGGAGAGGGAAGCGGAAUUCCCGGUGUAGUGGUGAAAUGGGUAGAUAUCAAGAGGAACACCUGAGGUGAAGACGGGUUGCUGGGCUGACACUGACGCUGAGGCGCGAAAGCCAGGGGAGCAAACGGG
rnacentral:rRNA from 1 species